UAUUGGACAAUGGGCGCAAGCCUGAUCCAGCAAUGCCGCGUGAGUGAUGAAGGCCUUCGGGUCGUAAAGCUCUUUUACCAGGGAUGAUAAUGACAGUACCUGGAGAAUAAGCUCCGGCUAACUCCGUGCCAGCAGCCGCGGUAAUACGGAGGGAGCUAGCGUUGUUCGGAAUUACUGGGCGUAAAGCGCGCGUAGGCGGCUACUCAAGUCAGAGGUGAAAGCCCGGGGCUCAACCCCGGAACUGCCUUUGAAACUAGGUGGCUAGAAUCUUGGAGAGGUCAGUGGAAUUCCGAGUGUAGAGGUGAAAUUCGUAGAUAUUCGGAAGAACACCAGUGGCGAAGGCGACUGACUGGACAAGUAUUGACGCUGAGGUGCGA
rnacentral:rRNA from 1 species